rnacentral:rRNA from 1 species
CCUACGGGUGGCAGCAGUGGGGAAUAUUGCACAAUGGGGGAAACCCUGAUGCAGCAACGCCGCGUGAGUGAAGAAGGCUUUCUGAUUUUUAAGCUCUUUUUGCAGGGAAGAGGAAGGACGGUACCUGCAGAGGAAGCCACGGCUAACUACGUGCCAGCAGCCGCGGUAAUACGUAGGUGGCAAGCGUUGUUCGGAAUAACUGGGAGUAAAGGAUGCGUAGGCGGUUAAACAAGUUAUAUGUUAAAUAUAUAGGCUUAAACUGUAGAAAGAAUAUAAAACUGUUUAACUAGAGUGCAGUAGAGGUAAGUGGAAUGCGUGGUGUAGCGGUGAAAGGCGUAGAGAUUAGGCAGAACACCAGUGGCGAAGGCGACUUACUGGACUGUAACUGACGCUGAGGCAUGAGAGCGUGGGGAGCAAACAGGAUUAGAUACCCGAGUAGUC